AUUGUACUUCCUCCGUCCGAAAAUACUUGUCAUCAAAAUGAAUAAAAGGGGAUGUAUCUAGAUGUAUCUUAGUUAUAGAUACAUCCCUUUUUGUCCAUUUUGAUGACAAGUAUUUUCGGACGGAGGGAGUAUAUU
rfam:Triticum aestivum genome assembly, contig: Triticum_aestivum_CS42_TGACv1_scaffold_195011_3AL